rnacentral:rRNA from 1 species
CAGGCUUAAUACAUGCAAGUCGUGGGGCAGCAGGUCCGUAGCAAUACGGAUGCUGGCGACCGGCAAACGGGUGCGUAACACGUACGCAACCUUCCUUCAGGCGGGGAAUAGCCCGGGGAAACCCGGAUUAAUACCCCAUAAUAUCUUGAGAUGGCAUCAUCUUAUUAUUAAAGCUUCGGCACCUGAUGAUGGGCGUGCGGCUGAUUAGGUAGUUGGCGGGGUAACGGCCCACCAAGCCUACGAUCAGUAGCUGAUGUGAGAGCAUGAUCAGCCACACGGGCACUGAGACACGGGCCCGACUCCUACGGGAGGCAGCAGUAAGGAAUAUUGGUCAAUGGACGAAAGUCUGAACCAGCCAUGCCGCGUGGAGGAUGAAGGUCCUCUGGAUUGUAAACUUCUUUUAUUUGGGACGAAAAAGGGAAAUUCUUUUCCACUUGACGGUACCAGAUGAAUAAGCACCGGCUAACUCCGUGCCAGCAGCCGCAGUAACAC